rnacentral:rRNA from 1 species
GAUGAACGCUGGCGGCGUGCCUAAUACAUGCAAGUCGAGCGAACAGACGAGGAGCUUGCUCCUCUGACGUUAGCGGCGGACGGGUGAGUAACACGUGGAUAACCUACCUAUAAGACUGGGAUAACUUCGGGAAACCGGAGCUAAUACCGGAUAAUAUAUUGAACCGCAUGGUUCAAUAGUGAAAGACGGUUUUGCUGUCACUUAUAGAUGGGUCCGCGCCGCAUUAGCUAGUUGGUAAGGUAACGGCUUACCAAGGCGACGAUGCGUAGCCGACCUGAGAGGGUGAUCGGCCACACUGGAACUGAGACACGGUCCAGACUCCUACGGGAGGCAGCAGUAGGGAAUCUUCCGCAAAGGGCGAAAGCCUGACGGAGCAACGCCGCGUGAGUGAUGAAGGUCUUCGGAUCGUAAAACUCUGUUAUUAGGGAAGAACAAAUGUGUAAGUAACUAUGCACGUCUUGACGGUACCUAAUCAGAAAGCCACGGCUAACUACGUG